rnacentral:rRNA from 1 species
GUCUACAGCCAUGCUACCCUGAACAAGUCCGAUCCUGUCUGAUCUCGGAAGCUAAGCAGGGUCAGGCUUGGUUAGUACUUGGAUGGGAGACCACCUAGGAAGACCAGGUGCUGUAGGUG